UACAAAGUGUGUGCUUAAUCUGACGACGAUCACUCUGUGAGGUACUGACCUGUUUGUCCAAGAGCAUUGCUGACACAAAAUAGCGUAUAUAACGUUUGAAGACGAACAAGGGAAUGAACCUGCAAUGAUCUUCAGUUCAUAGAGAGAUGAAAUGCAGGUCUCCAGAUCCAAGACUCCGGUCCCCAGGGAGGAAGAAAUAUUUCAGGCUUAUAGAAGCUGCAGGUGUCUUAUCUAACGGACUGUAGAAACUCAGUGCUUCUAACCUUGUACCCCGCUCACUCCCAUGCACUGCUCUGUUACAACUUUGAUCUCCUGCCUUCUCAGUGGCUAGACUUGAUAGUACAAAUAUGUGAGACGUUCUCAGGACGCGUUCACGCCAAAAGUCCUGUUUGGCUGAAGGGAAGGUGAAGGAGUAAAUGUGUGAGUUAAGAGGAAUGGUUUACCCACAUGUUGCCAUUCCUGUCAACCUGUUUUCACUGCUUAGUUGCUUACCUUGCUUCUGAGUAACUAUAUGGACAUCUCUGUGGACAUGAUUUGAUUUCUGAAUAAAACCAUUUA